rnacentral:rRNA from 1 species
CCCUAUGGGGUGCACCAGUUGAGCCAGUAAAAUCUUUUGAGGAUAUUCCUCCUAAAGUCAAAUUAACUCAGGAGUCUCCAGAGGUUAUAGUACAGAAGCAAGAGUUAUUAGAUGGAGUUGGUAAACAAGUUGAAGAGCGGACUACACCUAAAGUAGAUUUCCAAUCUCUUGCUGAGUCUAUAGAUCCAGCCAUAAGAUAUAUUGAAAGUAAACCUGGAAUUCCUGGUGUUAUUGAUGAUCAGAAUAUUUUUAGUACUAAAAUUCCUGGCAGUGAUAAGGAGACAUCUUUUAAUGUAAAUGGUAAAGUGACUGCUGAGAAAGUUAAGGCUGCUAGGGAUAAAAUACUAGAAGGAUAUAAACCUAAAGAGGAGAUAGUUGAAGAUGGCCAAGUGCAGACGGAAGGGCGGGAAGCCUCCCAAGAAGUAACUGAUGUAGAAUCUACAACUCUAUAUAGGGGAGAGC